UUUUGCCUGUUCUCAUGUGGGUGGUCUUUCUGUAUUCCCACACCAGAAAGCUAGCUUUUAAUGGUCCUCUAAUGUUAGCAAAGAAAAUGGCCUUAGCCACGAGGGCUGCGCCCAGCAUCCUCUGCAGCCCUGCUCUACCUGCUGUGGUCCAGGGCAGAAACAGAGCCAGUGGGGCAUCCAACCCACCUGCCAAUGACCGCAGGCCCAUGAGGCCCACGGUUCUGCUAGGUACAAGAGAAGGGGCAGAGGGCCCACUGCAGCCUCACAGCCUUGCAGCCCUGGAGUAGGAGGUGGCAGUAGAGCUUUGAAAGAUGGGAGGAGAGAACUUUCUAAGCAGGAGCUAGAUGCAGGAGGUGCAGCCACUGUAUGCAGGGACAUGACUUGGUGAGACAGGAGAUGUAGGAAGGGUGUCAGAGCAGACAGACCAUGAUGAGGGCACAGGGCUGAGGGCAGGACCUGCACCCAGGGUCGUGACCCCUAUGAUGAGAGUGAGACCUUCACCGAAGGGUCAUGACCCCAAUGACAAGGACAGGACAUUCACCCAGGAGUCCUGACUCUGAUGACAAGGGCUGAGGACCUGCACCAGGGUUGUGACCCUGAUGACAAGCAUGAGACCUUCAGGUGAUCAGAGGCCGUGACCCUGAUUGCAAGGGCUGAAGGCAGGUCAUGUACCCAGGGCCUGUGGCAGUCACUACAAGACCAGGACACACCUGUGGAAUAGCAUGGCCUCCUCCAUCCCUGUCUUUACUCAGAGUUUUGGAGAAAAUCCUGACCCAGCUGACCCCAUAGGACCAGGAGUGGGGACAGUGUGCUCCAGAUGACCACAACCCGGGGCCUCAGUUCCCCAUCAAUCCUGGGCACACAGGAGCUGCUGGGGAGUGAAAGAGCCUGUGCAUCUUAGAAGAUGAUAGGCUGGAGCCAGGCAAGCCAGGGGCCAACAACCUUCCCCUGGGCGCAAGAAGAACCCUACAUUCCUUGCCACUGGGGCUGGUGAGCCUGGAGGAACA
rnacentral:lncRNA from 1 species